rnacentral:rRNA from 1 species
AUUGAACGCUGGCGGCAGGCUUAACACAUGCAAGUCGAGCGAGCGGCGGACGGGUGAGUAAUGUCUGGGAAACUGCCUGAUGGAGGGGGAUAACUACUGGAAACGGUAGCUAAUACCGCAUACCAUCAGAUGUGCCCAGAUGGGCUUAGCUAUUAGGUGGGGUAAUGGCUCACCGAGGCGACGAUCCCUAGCUGGUCUGAGAGGAUGACCAGCCACACUGGAACUGAGACACGGCCCAGAUGCCUCCUGUAGGCAGCAGAGGGGAAUAUUGCACAAUGGGCGCAAGCCUGAUGCAGACAUGCCACGGUUGUGAAGAAGGCCUUCGGGUUGUAAAGCACUUUCAGCGAGGAGGCGUUACUCGCAGAAGAAGCACCGGCUAACUCCGUGCCAGCAGCCGCGGUAAUUC